rnacentral:rRNA from 1 species
UACGUAGGGUGCGAGCGUUGUCCGGAAUUAUUGGGCGUAAAGGGCGCGUAGGCGGUUUGUUGCGUCGGGUGUGAAAUCCCCUGGCUUAACUGGGGGCUUGCUUUCGAUACGGGCAGACUGGAGGUAUGCAGGGGAGAGCGGAAUUCCUGGUGUAGCGGUGAAAUGCGCAGAUAUCAGGAGGAACACCAGUGGCGAAGGCGGUUGCCUGGGGCGUUGCUGACGCUGAGGCGCGAAAGCGUGGGGAGCGAACAGG